rnacentral:lncRNA from 1 species
AAGACUGUUCCUCUUCGUCCUCAACCACACACUCUCUUCUUCUUCUUCCAACACACAACCUCUCAUCUUCACAAAACUCCAAAACAAAACCUACUUCGCCGGCCGUCCUUCACCAACCGCCGAAGACCUCUCUUCCUUCCGUCAACGGAGCCGCAACCCACACAGAACUUUUUCCGGCGACUACCGCUCAUCACCAACAACCUUCUUCCUCACGGACAAACAAAACCCAUUACUACCUUGGCCCUCAUUUUCCUCCACCUUCUCCUACUUCCAUCAAACAACAACAUUAGCAUAAUUUUUCUACUACUACAAAUUCGACACCUUCAUCAUCACCUCCUCCAAAGACUUCAUUCAACAUUGUAGUAGACACCGUCAAAUCGUCGAUCAGUAGUUUCUUUCCUUUUGAUUGAUUGAUUAUCGUGUUUCGUUUGUGAUGCUUGGUUCACGUUUAUGAUCGUAGCGCAUGAGUUCGAUUUAAGUUUUCGUCUCUCUCCACGAGUGAGAAGAACAUUGGAUCUAGUUUGGUUUUUCUUUAUUCUCAGUUUUAAUGGCUUUUGUUAUGUGGCUUUGUUUUAAGUUUCAUACACCAUUGAAAAUAUAGGAAAAACGUGUGUGGAGAGAUAGAGGAGUAAAUGUUUUAUUUUUUUAUUUUCCAAUUUCCUUUUUAAUUAUUGUUAAUUGAAUGCAGUUUAAAAAGUGAAAAUUAUUUUAUAAUUCUUUUAACUCAUUUUAUUAUGUGUCAUUACUGAAAAUUUGAACUUAGGAUUAAAAAUUAGUUUGAUCUUUA